rnacentral:lncRNA from 1 species
AUGCAUACCUGUUGUUCCUGUAUCUCUCUGUCACGUAAGUCAGGAGAUCUCUUAGCUCAUUUCUCUCCUCAGUAGCUGACUGCAGCUGUCUAAUCAGUCUCUGCUCUUCUGUGUUCUCCGUGUUGGCCUCCUUGUUGAUUACCACAGGGCCAGGGGAUGAUGUCAGUCUCCCAUCCUCUGUAGGUAGAAGAACACAAGUGAACAUUUUUGGGGAAACUGAUGAGUGUGCAUAGACCAUGGCAAGCCCCAAACAGGAGGAGAACAUGUGUAGACCACAGUGUCACCACAAAGAGUUUGUUGUUGCCUAAGAGACCUCCUCAGUGGAAGUCAACUCUCCCAGCACUCUAUAGAGACCAAGAGAUGUCAGAUGCCGGGUGUUCCCUAUGCCUGCUGACCCAUGCUCCAUGUACCACAGAGAUGGCUUCUACGGGAUUGUUAUCAACUUAACAGGGUACAACUUUCUUUCAGGACCCUCACCGCUGUACUUUCAGAAGUCAGAUGAUAAAUUCAACCUCCAAAAGAUUUGAGUGAUUGGAGAUACUCAGAUGUCCUGCACUGAUACUCUAGGCCACACCAUUUGGAAUUUAAAAGCAUUGCGGGGGAUGUCAUGGUCAACGGACUUAUCAAUUCCCCUAACUGAAACACCAAAUGCCACAGAAGUGCCAAUUGGUUACAGGCUGAAUCUUGGUCUACCUGCUACAAAUAGUUUUAGUACUGUAAAAAAAUGUUUGUAACACACAAACUCUAAUUUAUAAUGCUAAGGAUGUCCCAUCUCUGCCAAUUAGAAAAAGUCAGAGGAGUUCUAAGAACAUAAGGCCAGAAGCAUAAUUCUCUCCCUGAUACUAAAGACAGAGAUCUACUUUAUUUAAUGAAGCAAUGAGAGUGAAGUAGAUUGAUGCCCUGUCUAAAUUCAAUAAAGUUGGACACUCAGUGUCUCCUGAUCGUGUUAUUAUAUCAAUGUAACGUAUCAUAUGCACGUUAAAAGUGAAGGCCAGAAGUUCACAGAAUAAUAGCAUUGGCCUUACCAUAUCCUCCCUUUGGGGAUGGGCAAACUAAUGUUCUGAAAUCCUUGACUUUUAGGAAUUGUGAUCUUCAUGGAAAUUCAAUUCCUUUGCAGAUACUCCAGUUGUUCUGGCCUAUUGCUAGACAGAUUAUUUUUCUCUGAUAUGGAGAAGGGUGAAAGGGUGGACUUCAGAUAUGAGGGGGUGGUGGAUAUCAACGGAGUUGAACUGCAUGAUGUGAAAUUCACAGAGAACAAAUGAGAAGUUUUAAAAAAUUAAAAUGUGCACAUUGGGGAUAAAGGAGUGAAAGCUUAGCAUGGAGAGGUUUGGCAGUGGACUGGGUAUUUGUGGGGGUGGGGUGUAUUUGGGUGGGGUUCUGGCAUGGUAAGAACAGUGUCUGUUCUGGUCCUUCCAGGGAAACUCCUCUCAUCUCUCCUCUGCCUCUAUCUCCACCUCCAACAGCUGAAACUGCCUCCUACUACAGCAGCAGCUUCUGGGCAUCUCCUUCUCUGCUCAAGCUCUUCUAAGUGCUCGGGGGUGAUACAAGCUUUGAAAAGUGCGGGGCAG